GCUCCGGGGCUCAGUCGGUAGAGCGCCUCGUUUACACCGAGGGAGUCAGCGGUUCGAGUCCGUUCCGGAAGU
rnacentral:tRNA from 1 species